rnacentral:lncRNA from 1 species
CCAUAAUUAAUAAUAACGACUAUUAUUUCAUGUUUACGGCACAUUAACCUUCCUACCAGGCACUGUGCUAAGUGGCUGAUGGAAUCUUACUGCUUGCAGUUGAGAAAGUUGACUGAUACAGAUAUUAAUACUGAAUACCUAUUUCUUUUUUUUCUUCUUGAGACGCAGUCUGGUUCUGUCGCCCAGGCUGGAGUGCAAUGGCGCGAUCUCAGCUCACUGCAACCUCCACCUCCCGAGUUCAAGUGAUUCUCCCACCUCAGCCUCCCAAGUAGCUGGGAUUAUAGCACCUGCCAGCAUGCCCAGCUAAUUUUUGUAUUUUUAGUAGAGACGGGGUUUCACCGUCUUGGCCAGGCUUGUCUCCAACUCCUGACCUCAGGUGAUCCGCCUGCCUCGGCCUCCCAAAG